AGAAGAAGAAGAAGGAGGAGGAGGAGGAGGAAGAAUAAGAAGAAGAAGAAGAAGAAGAAGAGAAGGCUCCAUCUUUCAGGGAGCUGACCUCCUGGUGAGGAGAUACAGGUAAUAAACACACCCAUGUGACAUGUAUUCCACUUGUGGAAAAGAGCAAAGAUUUGCGGGACGGUGACGAGGUUUCCCCGGUGACAUUACAGAGACGUUACUUGGUCAAUAAUCAAAUAUGUGUUGGGGUGAUUACAUAACAUGGAAAAGUGUGGGUGGCUCGGCUCAUUUCGCUGAAGUUGUUAAUAGCUGACCUGGCCUGGCUCAUGCGGUGGUUUCUCAUUGUCUUUCUAAUACUGUGUGAACUGUGGGGAGACAGCCCUGCUUUCUUCCCUGAGGUUGAUGAAUUCUGCCCUGCUUCCCUCCCUCUCCUUCCCUCUCUCCCUCUCCCUCACCCUCUCCCCCUCACCCUCUCCCCCAUCACCUUUUCUAGAGGGCUGUCACUUUAUCCAUCAUGGCAAGGACCCAGAUCCCUCCUUGGUGACUUCAUUGUCUGUCUGUUUCCGUUGCAUUGAC
rnacentral:lncRNA from 1 species